CCUACGGGUGUCUGCAGUGAGGAAUAUUGGUCAAUGGUCGGGAGACUGAACCAGCCAAGCCGCGUGAGGGAGGAAGGUACAGAGUAUCGUAAACCUCUUUUGUCAGGGAACAAAGACUGGGACGCGUCCCCGGAUGAGUGUACCUGAAGAAAAAGAAUCGGCUAACCCCGUGCCAGCAGCCGCGGUAAUACGGAGGAUGCGAGCGUUAUCCGGAUUUAGUGGGUUUAAAGGGUGCGCAGGCGGGCUGUUCAGUCAGCGGGCAAAGCCCGGGGGUCAACCCCGGCCCGCCGUUGAAACUGGCAGUCUCGAGUUGGAGAGAAGUAUGCGGAAUGCGCGGUGUAGCGGUGAAAUGCAUAGAUAUCGCGCAGAACUCCGAUUGCGAAGGCAGCAUGCCGGCUCCACACUGACGCUGAGGCACGAAAGCGUGGGUAUCGAACAGGAUUAGAUACCCGAGUAGUC
rnacentral:rRNA from 1 species